CUUGUAAAGCGAAAAGGUGGAGAAGUACUACUAUGUUUACCAUCUAUUCUACUGUCUAACAUUGAAACCACAUUAGCAGGUAAAAAGGCAACAGCCAACGUCCAAGAUUUUCACCUAGGGAAAGUCUUUUCUUAUGAUAAAAUUCUACACUCCUGUAUAAGCAAGGGUCAGCGAAUGGCAUAAAAGAAAGUACCACGAAAUGCUAAGAAUAGGUAGCAUAGUACUCCCUCCCUAAUGCAAAUUCUUUAAUACAUAAUCUGUUGUGAACUUUUAUCGAUUGUGUUCUUUUUCGUGUAGUGCUACGUAGUUCCUAUAUUUCUCUCCGGUAUUCUUGUUCUAAAAUAAAGAUCUCUGUGUCCGAGAUCAAGAAGAGAAGAAGAAGUAAACAGUCCAGGAACUUUUUCUUUUGCUCUUGCUUUAAAUAAAGAUCCACGUCUGAGGCUCAAGCACGAAGAAGGAGAUCGACUAUCCGCCUUUCCAUUGUUCUUCCUUCUAUUCGCGAAGAACAAGAGAAAAGGAGAACAGAAGGGGAACAAGAGAAAGAGAAAUAGGGAAGAGGAUUAACUUCCACUGGUCUCAGUAGUCAAAUCGGCCAUUCAUUUAGUAAAGACUUCCAUUUACGUGCAAAUUCUUGAAACAACUGAAACCAAAAAGGCAGAAUAGUUAUUCCCUUAUCAUUACCCCGUUUGGUUCACUGAAAACUGAUAGAAUACAAUUGGAAUCUUCGGGUGAAUGGCCAUCCGAUUGCAAGGCCAAGGAAUUCCCAUACCCUUCCUUUCCGAAAUUUUCCAGCAGCACACCACCUAGAGUAUAUAGCUGCUCUCAAAUGAAGCCUAAAAUCAUAGAUUAAACAAUCCUACGGCCUUCAAUUAUAUAGCAUUACAUAAGCAAUCCUUCUAUCUCUUAGGUAAGUGCACAGCCCUCUAUGACCAAGGUAAAACCUUUCAAGCUCCACUGGGGGGUUGAAAGGUCCUCCCCAAAGAGGUGUGUGUGGCUCAUUGACAAUUAGUUUUACUUGUGCCUUUAAUUGAAGCCAGAUUAUCCCAGAAGGACAAAGAGAGAGCAAAUGGUAAAGAUCAAUUGGAGGAACCAGAGACAGAGAUUUGGAAAAUGAAAAGGAAAGGGAUUUGGAAUUCCUAUACAGUCAACAACUUUUUAUGGCUAACUGAACGAAUAGUUUUUUUUUUUUUUUUGACAAAUUGUCACAAAUAUAUACUCCUCUGCCCCAAAAUCUUGGUCCCCAUCGAGAGUUCUAAACCAUUCGGAGACAUGUAAUAGUUAGAGUCAAAUACAAAUAAGGCAAUAAUUCCAAUAUUGCCCUUGUUAAUUCCAAUAUUGCCCUUAAAUGCUCAUCUCUUAGUGCAUUCCUAUUUAGAUAGAAAUGAAGGCCCCAUUUGAUAAUUGUGAUAGAUGGGGCGGGAUUCGAAAAGAGAUGUGAUUAGGAUAGGGAUUGGUAAUUUGUAUGUUUGUUUAACACUACAUUAAAAGAUAGGCUUGUUCUUACCAUGUUUGUUUCGCAUAGGAUAGGAUUGGAUUGAAAGUAUUUUUACCCUUAUGCAAAACUGAAGCAUAACAACCAUAUCCUCUUGUUUCAAAUGCCAUGUUUGGUACAAAACUAAUACAUAAUAUAAUUAUUAGAUAAUAAAUUCUAAACGGAGGGUCCGUGUAGAAGCAAGUUUCCUCCCACCCAAUAAAAACAAGCCAGCUCACCCAUAAGUAGGGCAACCAGCUUUAUCCCUAACCAUCCAACUAAACCAUGGUUGGGUAUUGGUUAAUAUGGAAACCCAAUAAACAAAAUAGCGGGAAAGGUAGACCAAUACCCAAAACAAACCCCAAGGCAACUCAACAAAAGCCACCAAUGCAAUAAGGAGGUGAGUACUUCCUGCCAAAUACCUUCUCCAUUUCUUUUCUUUUUUUCUUUUUUUCUUUUUUUACUUUUACACGUAAUAUAGUUCCAGCCUUGGGCUUGGGAAAUAAUUUGUAAUUGGCAUGAAACUAGUGUGCGUGUUUCCGUAGGUUUGUGAUGGACUUUGGUUCUUUUUUCUUUUAUAUAAUUAGGUGUCUGGGUCUACUUGCGCACACACCCAUCAUCCACUAGUAGGGGCUCCACUUGAAGCCUAAGCAUAUGCUUCAUAUGGACUGGCCUCAAAUGAGUUGAUAGCACCUAAGAAGUUUCGAACUUGAGACCUUAGGAGUGAACAAAUCCCUUGGGGUUGGCUUUGGUUCUUGUGGGUUUAUUAUUUUGAGAUUUAGUUUGGUGGGUUUUACAUGGAUUUACUAUUUUUGAGGUCAUAGGCUUAUAUAAUAAUUCCAAAUACAUGCUCCAUUUCUUGUUCUAGUACUUUCAUCCUUUGAUUUCCUACUAGUUAUUGUUU